rnacentral:misc_RNA from 1 species
AUGGUUUUCAACAUGAUGGCAUAUACACCUUUUUUUAAAUUAAUAAUAACUUAUUAAUUAAAAAUAAUCGAAGCAUAAUACUUUAAGAUAACAUGGAUGAUAUUCCAUAGUUUUUACUGUCUAAAUUUCUCAUUUUUAGCAAAAAUCGACAUACGUCCCUUUUUUAUAAUGGGUGCAAUUUAAUUAUCUAUAAAUGUUGUAUUUAGAAUCUGAAUAUGAAAGUACUAUACCAUCAGCAAAAGAACCAUUGGCUUACAUGUCUGGCGGUUAGUCUUAUUAAAUCCCAUGUUUCUUUGAAACCAUUUGCAAUGUGAUUUGUUUGCUGUAAACUAGGCUCAUCAUGUUAUUUUUUAUAUUUUAUGUUAUUCAAAAACUUCUUCAGUCAAUUUUAUAUUAUUAACUGAUUGACCUUUUUUUUCGGUCUUCGGCGUAUUCGAAGCAAGAUGGCCUGAUUUCAAUUUAUCAACUAAAGACACAUUUCCAACUUAUAUCCGCUUAAAUCCAGCUAAUCACGUAAUCCAAUAAUCUAAAUAUAAAAGCUAUUUCUCCUAAUUCUAUUUCUCCUAACUAAUUCUAUUUUUCCUAACUAAUUCUAUUUCUCCUAACUAAUUCUAUUUCUCCUAACUAAUUCUAUUCCGAAAACUCAAAUAUGUCUGAACUAUCAAUGGCAAAUAUCAAAUCCCUCCUAGAUAAUCAAAAAAUGAAAUUCUACUUGCUAUCAAUACAAAUCUGAUAAAAAUAACUAAUGGUAUUUCUGAACUGAAAGCUACAUAUGCUGAUAUUAAAACUACAGUAGCUAAGAACACAAAAGAUAUUACUGAACUACGUAAUCAACUCCUCGACUUAUCCAAAAAUAAUAAAUUACUUUUGGAAGAAAAUGAAAAAUUAAAAAAGGACUUAGAUGACCAGGUUAACAGAAACCUAAGGAAAACACUUAUAUUUAAAAAUAUCCCUUAUGAAAAUAAGAGUCCUGGAAUGACACAAAAAAUAUUGUGGCUAAUACUAUUGCCAAAGCAGCGAAUGUAGAUCCAAGAUCUAUUCACGAAAUGAUUGAACGCUGCCAUCGUGGAAAAGUUACUAACCGCCUUAAACCAAGUCAUGUUUUUUUUAAAUUUCACAGAUGGUCCGAUAGCGAACAUACUAAAAGAGUGUUUGCAAGACCCAUCAACAAUAUACGAGUUGAGCAGAUGUAUUCGAAAUCACUAACUUAUCGCCGCAAUGAAGCAAUGAAGGAACGUCGAAGGUUAAUUGAAGAAAAAUCAAUCGUAAGCACAUUCCUUGAAUAUCCAGCUGUAUUAAAGGUCAAAUAUAAGAAAUCCGACAAAUAUUCAACAACAAAAUCGUUCUAAACCUACGAAUAUCUAAAGAUCCCUUUGAAAAGCUACGGUUUCCACUAAGCCAUGCUGAGUACCAAAAACUGUCACUUGGUCUCUUGUGGGAGAUAAAAAAAAACUUCGUAAAUUGUAAAAGGAUAACCAUGCAAUAAAAAUGAUGGCAACGAUGGAAGAUUUUAAUGCCUUUGAAAGAGAGUUGUUAGACGAACAGAAACGUUCAAUCAUGAGAAAAUCUUUACGUCAAGUCUGUGGUUUGGAUGCGAAAGACCAAGUAAAAAUGAUACUGGAAAGACUGUUUACCGUUGGACUUCUGUCCUAAUUUAACUUAGUGGGGACAAAAAGAAAGGACCGCGGUGGAAAUAAGAGGGGGUUGAAAGGAUCAGCCAUUUUUGAAUUAAUAGUCGAAGUCGCAGCCAGCUCGUAUAAAAAGACUUCUCGACGAGAAAUAGUUAAUUUUAUUCAGAGAAAGCUGAAGAACGCCCCUAAUCAAAUCGGGAGGUUGCGUAGGCAACAACGCCAAGAAACAGAGGAGAAAGCUCAAGAAACAGAGGAAAAAGAGGAAGGUGAAAAUAAUGUAAUAUUUGGAGAUGAAUCUGCUGAUGACUCUUAAUUUAUUUAACUUAAUUUAACUUAAUUCAUUUAACUCUUAAUUUAACUAAUAUAUUCUGCU